GAGAGAGCACUCCUGGGAACUGUAGUAGAGUCUCUGCACUUUUAAAACAAUUUUUAAAAAUAAAUUAAGCAUGGUCGUCAUGUUGUUUUAGAUAAUUGAUUUGGGAAUUUUAUCUCUUAAUACAAUUAAUCAUACAACUCUGAGGUUUUGGAGUAUAACUCAAUGAAAAAUACAGGUAGGUGAUUUUCAUUCACUAAAGAAUAUUUUGUUCUUUUUUUUUUCUUCAAAAAAUUUCUUUACACUUUAUGUAAACACUGUGGUUUACAAAGUUGUUCAUGAUGAUUUGUUACAGGCAUUCAAUAUUCCAACACCCGUGCCACCACCAUUACACCUUCCCCAGCCAUUGUCAAUAAUUUUUUGUUCUUGUUCUUGGGGGGAGGCGUAUAUAUAUGGAGAGAGACAGACAGAGAAACAGAGAGACAGAUGGAGAGACAGACAGAGAGACAGACGGAGAGACAGAGAGACAGACAGACAGACAGACAGAGAGACAGAUGGAGAGACAGAGAGACAGAGAGACAAACAGAGAGACAAACAAAGAGACAGACGGAGAGACAGACAGACGGAGAGACAGACGGAGAGAGCUCAUCCCUCGGCCUAGAAUUAACUGCCGGGAAUGGUCGUUUCCAUUGUUCACGACCUGCAGUUUCCAGGGUAUCUUUGCUCGUCUGUUUCACCCCACAAGUACUCAGCAAGUGCUUUUUAAAGAACUCCGUGAUUGGUACAUGUGGGAGCAAAGAAACACACAACAUAAAUUCUUAAAAUCACAAACUAUUAUUAUUCAGUUUUUGAUUUUUGAUUUUGGGGCCACGCCCAGCAGUGCUCAAGGCAUAGCCCUGGUGGGGCCCUGGGGCCACAUGGGCUUCUGGUGACGUGCAAGGCCAGUGCCCUGCCCACUGCACCGUCUCUCGCCCCCUCAAGCUUAUUGAAAGGAACAACUCAGUCAGGCCGCAGAGACUCUGCCCUUCCCAGUAUAUGAACAGGACACUGCUCAGUUCGUAGGCAAGCCAGCCUCAUCCAUGCCUCAGUCUUUCUCAGAACUGGUGACCCAGACGCCUGAACUUCUGUGAAUUCCCAGGGUUGCCUGGUUUUAUUAGAGACCUGGGAUCUCAGGAAUAGUAUGUCAGUGAUGUGAAGUUUCCAGACCGUCUGCGCUGCAGGGGCACACGGAAUGCUCAGGUGUUGGGGUGUCCCCCCACCCCAACAAGACACAGACACACAGACACACACCAGACACAGACACAGGCACACACGUACACACACCAGACACAAACACAGACACAAACAUAGACACACACACCAGACACAGACACAGGCACACACACACACCAGACACAAACACAGGCACACACACACAGCAGACACAGACACAGACAUAGAUACAGACACCAGACACAGACACAGACACAGGCACACACACUAGACACAGACACAGACAUAGACACACACACACACACACACACCAGACACAGACACAGACAUAGACACACACACCAGACACAGACACAGACACAGGCACAGACACAGACACAGACACAGGCACAGACACAGACGCACACACACACACCAGACACAGACACAGACAUUGACACACACACACCAGACACAGACACAAACACAGGCACACACACACACCAGACACAGACAUAGGUACAAACACACACCAGACAUAGACACAGACACAGGCACACACACACCAGACACAACAGACACAGACACAGACAUAGGCACACAUGCACACACCAGACACAGACACAGACAUACACACACCAGACAUAGACACACACACACACCAGACAUAGACACACACACACCAGACAUAGACACAGACACAGACAUACACAUGUGCAUGGGCGUGCGCAUACACACACAGACACACACACCCCCUCUCAGCAUUUACUAGAAGAAACCCUGAUGUCCUGCUCCCGUGCCCGUGCUCGGCUGCUCCCCUUCUCCAGUCUUCUGGUGUGACCCUCUGAGGCGACGAUGGAUGUUCGCACCAGGACAGGACGCACAAAGCACACAGCCCCGUUUCCCAGGACGUCACAGCUGGGUCCUGCCCGGGCCAGGCCCUGUCCCCACCUGUCGCAGGAGUGAGUGACGGUCAGCCAGCAGGCAGCCUGGCUCUGCCCAGGACACACCCCCCUGGAAUAUUCCUCCCGCUCUCCAGCCCUCUAUUUAUGGGCUCUGUGCUGGACGGUCUGAGCUCUGAGACCGAAGGCGUGAGAAUCCCAGGGCGUCGGUGAGGACUGGCCGUGGGCCCGGCCUUACAGUAGUGACUGUGGGCGUGGGACGCCCCUCGGGGCACCACCAGAGCUCAUGGCCGCAGAGCCAAGGCGGGGUGAUGCCUCUCGCUGCCCAGAAACGCCACGAGGCACGUCCACACCGAACAGUGAGUCGAUUUGGACCAUCAGCUGCCACUUUCUUUGCUAGAACAGAAGUUGGCUGGGGACGAGGCGGGGGACACUCGGCCGUGGGGAGAAGGGGGCGCCCAGCUGUGCCCCUCAGCACUUCAUCUUCCUGUCUGGGAACUGCAGGGAAAGUCCCUCGCCUCUGGGAGUUUUGGGGUCCUCAGGAGAGAGGAGUGCCGUGUAAAUCUGUGCUAGUAAUUACUUACACAGCACUCCUCGGGAAGGGCAAAGCAUCAGGUCAUGGUUUAUUCUAAAGUGAUUCUUUCCCCAAAGCUUAUUUAUUGGUACUCUGUGCUUUGAGAGCCUUCUAAUACUUCAGGCUCUUAUUUUCCCACGUGUCUGUUGGAAGAUUGUGAAGUGGAAACUGCCGACUGGCCAUUGGGUGGGUUGUUUGGGCUUGUAUGCUGAUGACUCUGCAGGAACACGGAGUUGUUGCUAUAUGGGAUGAGCACUGGAUUCCUUUACAGGAGUCUCCGGCGUGUCUUACUCUGCUUGAGUGAGACCCAUUUUCUCUCCGAGCGCUUGAAUCACUGCUUACAUUGCUUCCGUUUAAGAAUGCUAUCUUAUUAGUCAAGACGCUGUGUUCUUUCUCUAUGAAAAGAGUGGAUGAGACGGUUUUUGGGAAAGAAUGUGUUUUGUUCCCCCUACUGCCUCCCCCUCCCCUUUGGUCAUUCUCAACUUUUUGCAUCUGUAGCUUUUGUGCAAAUUAUGAUUAGAUGAGAUGGUGAGUCCAGGGCUUUCUUCAAUCAUGUUUUAUUAAUAUAUAAUACAUAACAUUUUUCUCUGUUUUUUUGAGCUUUGUUAGGUAAAUAUAAGACUCUUGGCAUGUUUGGAAUUUUCACUGUUUGCUAUUUUAAGGUAUUAUUUGCCUACUUUUACAAGAAACGAUCAAGAAAACAUCCAUCUAGAGGAAUCUAUUAGCUGACUGCUUAAUGGAUCCCGAAGCUCAAAAAGCUUAUUUCAUCCCGACAGGGAGCCCGAGGAGAGAUGCAAGGAGCUUCAUGGAAGACCGGAUGUCUUCACUCAUGCUUGCACGAAAGAUGCGCUUGGACUCUAGAAAACAUUUCUAGCUCGAGUGUUUAGUUUCUCUGACCUAUGACUUCAUGAAUACCUAGUGCAUUCUAGCCUCUGUCAGGAGAGUUAGUGUUCGAGUUAUAUCACCAGUCUUCGAAAUCAUCUCAGGCACCAAGGUUGGCUUCACCAAAGUUGCCAUGGUAUAACUAGCCUCAUGGUCUUGAGAGAAAAAGUGCAGAUGUACAUUUUUGACAUCUGCAAAGGUUAGAGUGACCACAUUUUGAGGAGGAUUUAUAGUACAAGUUUUAUUAUGUAGCUAUACUUACCCUCCUUAGGAGCACACUGUGACUAUUUUCUGAGCUCUCUGGUGCUGUCAUUUUCUCCUUUCAGGGAAGCCAGGUGGCUUCUGCCUAGGUGAGCAUAGCUCGCGGGUGUCUGUCCGCAAAGGCAGCCUGCGGGCCCCGUGUGGCUUCAACAUGAUCAGUUUCACUAGCGAGUUUUGCAACCAUAAACAUUUGAAGCCACAGUCACCAAGAGAAUCCAGCCACAGAGGUGAUUUGAGUGAAGAUGCGGUUUCUAGGUGAUGUGCACGUAAAAUGACAUCAUUAUCCUUCUCGUGGGUAGCAUUGUCUGGUUUCAACCAUCAUUUGGCAAAUUACAAAGGAAGUGGAAGGCACGGAAGGCAAGGUUGAGACAGAACCAGUUUGAAAAUGUUUUGCACCAUGAAUAAACACGCCCUUCGUCAUCUGUAUAACCAAUUAGAGAUUUAAAAAUAUGUUCCUGGCGCUCAGGGAUUAAGUGUGCUACUGGGCAGAGUCAGAUGGCGUUUUUUUGGAAAGACUUUCACUCACUAAAGGAACACUGUGUUCGCAAACCCUGAAGGUGACCGACCCCCCACCCUGUCCCAUCUCAACUCUGACAUCCUGGAAGGGGUGAGGCGGACUCACAGCCCAGUUCUCGUCUAUGCCAGCCCUGAGGGCCAAGAGUUAUAAAAUGUCACUUAUUUCUGCACAGA